AUGGUCUUCCCACCAAACUUCCUU
rnacentral:siRNA from 1 species